rfam:Strongylocentrotus purpuratus Contig1556_fixed, whole genome shotgun sequence.
GAGUAGGUCCUUUUCAGGACCAUACUCAUCUUCAAGAAAGAAUACU